UCNNNNNNNNNNNNNNNNNNNNGACGAAAAAUGAAUACCAAGUCUCAAGAGUGAACACGUAAUUCAUUACGAAGUUUAAUUCAUUGAGCAUCAAACUUUUAAAUUGAAGAGUUUGAUCAUGGCUCAGAUUGAACGCUGGCGGCAGGCCUAACACAUGCAAGUCGAACGGUAACAGGAAGCAGCUUGCUGCUUUGCUGACGAGUGGCGGACGGGUGAGUAAUGUCUGGGAAACUGCCUGAUGGAGGGGGAUAACUACUGGAAACGGUGGCUAAUACCGCAUAACGUCGCAAGACCAAAGAGGGGGACCUUCGGGCCUCUUGCCAUCAGAUGUGCCCAGAUGGGAUUAGCUUGUUGGUGAGGUAACGGCUCACCAAGGCGACGAUCCCUAGCUGGUCUGAGAGGAUGACCAGCCACACUGGAACUGAGACACGGUCCAGACUCCUACGGGAGGCAGCAGUGGGGAAUAUUGCACAAUGGGCGCAAGCCUGAUGCAGCCAUGCCGCGUGUAUGAAGAAGGCCUUCGGGUUGUAAAGUACUUUCAGCGGGGAGGAAGGUGUUGUGGUUAAUAACCGCAGCAAUUGACGUUACCCGCAGAAGAAGCACCGGCUAACUCCGUGCCAGCAGCCGCGGUAAUACGGAGGGUGCAAGCGUUAAUCGGAAUUACUGGGCGUAAAGCGCACGCAGGCGGUCUGUCAAGUCGGAUGUGAAAUCCCCGGGCUCAACCUGGGAACUGCAUUCGAAACUGGCAGGCUUGAGUCUUGUAGAGGGGGGNNNNNNNNNNNNNNNNNNNNGAAAUGCGUAGAGAUCUGGAGGAAUACCGGUGGCGAAGGCGGCCCCCUGGACAAAGACUGACGCUCAGGUGCGAAAGCGUGGGGAGCAAACAGGAUUAGAUACCCUGGUAGUCCACGCCGUAAACGAUGUCUACUUGGAGGUUGUGCCCUUGAGGCGUGGCUUCCGGAGCUAACGCGUUAAGUAGACCGCCUGGGGAGUACGGCCGCAAGGUUAAAACUCAAAUGAAUUGACGGGGGCCCGCACAAGCGGUGGAGCAUGUGGUUUAAUUCGAUGCAACGCGAAGAACCUUACCUGGUCUUGACAUCCACGGAAGUUUUCAGAGAUGAGAAUGUGCCUUCGGGAACCGUGAGACAGGUGCUGCAUGGCUGUCGUCAGCUCGUGUUGUGAAAUGUUGGGUUAAGUCCCGCAACGAGCGCAACCCUUAUCCUUUGUUGCCAGCGGUCCGGCCGGGAACUCAAAGGAGACUGCCAGUGAUAAACUGGAGGAAGGUGGGGAUGACGUCAAGUCAUCAUGGCCCUUACGACCAGGGCUACACACGUGCUACAAUGGCGCAUACAAAGAGAAGCGACCUCGCGAGAGCAAGCGGACCUCAUAAAGUGCGUCGUAGUCCGGAUUGGAGUCUGCAACUCGACUCCAUGAAGUCGGAAUCGCUAGUAAUCGUGGAUCAGAAUGCCACGGUGAAUACGUUCCCGGGCCUUGUACACACCGCCCGUCACACCAUGGGAGUGGGUUGCAAAAGAAGUAGGUAGCUUAACCUUCGGGAGGGCGCUUACCACUUUGUGAUUCAUGACUGGGGUGAAGUCGUAACAAGGUAACCGUAGGGGAACCUGCGGUUGGAUCACCUCCUUACCUUAAAGAAGCGUACUUUGCAGUGCUCACACAGAUUGUCUGAUGAAAA
rnacentral:rRNA from 1 species